UUUCAGAGCUUUCGUGUCUUUGUUCUUCGCUUCACACAGUGUGUGUAUCUUUUGCUUUGACACCUGGGGUCCUGCUCAGUGGUACCGUGUCUAUGAUACCUCACUCCACCGAGAGGUAAAUAGACAGAGAGCUUCAGUUUGAGAGAGAAAUAGCGUGAGAGAAGGAGAGAGAGCUGCAGGCUGCGUUAUAUCUAUCUAGGGAUAGAGAGAGAGUUUGAGACUGAAGAAGAGGGAGACGGGAAGAAGUUGAUGGUCGAUUGGAACAGAAAUUGAGUGAACUGAUCAUCCCAGCAAAAGUAAGAGAAGAGUUGGGUCUCUGUUCUUGGUAGGAUUUGGAUGUUCUUCGGUUAUACGGUGGCUGCCUUGAUUUCAUGGAUUUGUUUUGUGAUUUUUGAUUAGAUUAGUAGGACUGAAAUUGGAGAGGAGGAAGGGAGAAUUUAUCAAGGCCAAGAAAGGUAUUGCUUCUUCUUGCUCUGGGUGGUUGUUUGUGAAUUUUGCAGAAUGGAAUAGCAGAGAAGAAUUGGUGGGUCAUCUAAUUUGGUUAGUUUUGAUUAACAGUAUCUAUGUUAUUCUGCAGAGGAUUCAGUCUCAGCAUAGUUGAGAUUGAGAGCUACAAGUCUAAGUGUCAAUUUCAAGCUUUAUCCAUUUUUUCUGGGAAUUUACAAUGUUGCCAUGUACCCUAAAUAUAUAAUCUAAAGAACCAACGCCUACUUUCGGGAAGCAUCGGUGAAGACCGACCUCAGCUGCUGCGCUGUUGCAACCUCUCUGACGUCGACAUGAAUCCAAACAGGUUCUCAAAACUGGUUGAUAGAGUGCAAAUACUUCCAACACCAUUCAAACAGCCAACAUCAGAAGAAAUCCAGGAAACCAAUAUGAAAACAGUGACUGGAUUGAACAUAUUGGAUCCAUUGUCAUACAAGGAACAAAUGGUGUAUUGCAAUGCUUCAAUUUCCAGAUUUGCAACACACGACGGUUGGUGGUAUAAAGGAUGUCCUCACUUUUAUCGAGAAUUAAAAGAACAAGAACAUGACAAUCAACUCGGCUGCUCACUUCAUGGGAAGCAAGAAAUUCUUCCUUGUUUCAGAAUCUACAUGACUAUCACAGAUGGACAAAAUGAGGCAACGGUUAUCAUAAUGGGAAAACCAGCAGAGCAACUGUUUGGAAGUAGUUGCAAAGAUUUGGUCAGCAAAAGAUCAUACCCAACAGAAUCAACACUACCAGAGGAGAUAGAAAAAACAAGAGGCCAAAAGUUCCUUUUUCAGCUCAAGAUAAAGGAAGAUAGUGAGCUAUAAUCAAAGCAGUCUUCCCACAUAUGGAGUCCUCUGUACCACCUUUUGAAAACGACCCAGCAACUAUGACACCAGAUCCUGUUCCUUUUCAAAGAAAGAGAGUUGCUGAGACAAGUAAAAGAGGAUUAUUCAUAUCUGAACCAGACAAGAAACCUAGAAGGCAAAGAGAAGCAGAGGAGGAUGAAACCACAUCAUCGUCAUCAGCUGAAAACAAAAAGACUGUUUAAUCCAGGAUAACGUCAUCAGCUGAAAACAAAAAGACUGUUUAAUCCAGGAUAACUGUGGUGUACAGUUUUUUGAUGAAAGUAAUCGAUUUUGUGUAGCUGCAAUGACAAGUACAGUUGGAACCACAACUGUUUUUGAACGCUCCACAAUGUUACAAAAUUGCAGCAACGAUCUUUUUGUAAAGCUGCAACUAUAAUAGCUAAUCUGACUAUGCAGCUAGCUUUUUUGUAAAGCUGCAGCUGAAAUGCCUAACAUUAUUGUGCAGCAAGCAAUUUUUGGAUGACUUUUGGUGUAACAAAUGUAGAGUGUACAUGUACUCUUUUAUCAAAUGAAUAUAAUGUAACAAUUCUCCCUCUA